UUCUCCCACAUUUACUUCCAUUAGUUAAUUUACCAAGUGUUAUGACACUUUCAGCUUUUCCAAUUUAUUAACGAUUGAUUUAUAUAUUAGAUUGAACGAUGGCCAAAUUAGAUUCUCACUUUCUAUCGCUAUUAGAUUUCUGGAUUAUGAACUUAUUGGUUUCAACCCCCAAAAUCAAUGCGUGGGAGGAUUCAGAUUUGUUAUCCUCACGUAAUUUUAAAUUGUGGAUCACUGGAUCAACAUGGGUUUGCAAUGACAAUCUACCUCCACGAGUUCUUAAAAUCAUCAUUAGUUGAUCUUCAUCUCAAACCAUCAGAAGAGGACUUAAAGCAAUGGCCUGACACGUAAAAGUAAAACCAUCAUCAUCCUUUUAUGUUAUUUAUCUUUAUAGAUUCUGAAUUUUAUGUGUGUGUUUCCUUUUUGAGUUCUGGGUUUCACUUGCUAUAGAUGGCCACUCAACAUUGAUUUCUUUAGAAAAAUCAAUAGCAAGCCCUUCAGAUUCUUAUUUGCAUAUCAUACUUACCUCGCUGCCUCAGAUAUAAGGGUUUGAAACAUUUGAGCACUUGGAGAACCUCAGCAAAAAGGAGCUUUUAACAUAACAAGGCGAUAGCAAUAACCUUUAAAUCUGAGAUAGACCGGACUUACCUUGGAUAGCCGAAAAUGGUAGCAGUUCUUGAUCAUGAACGGAAAAGAACACAUGUUAUUGGAAAAGAAUGACAAUUCUAAACACGUUGUAUGUAAACCAUGGGAAAAUUCGAAAACCAUGGUGACUUUAGGGGACGAUGAGUACAAAAGCAUACUUUGUGUGGAUUGUUAUUACUUUGAAGCCAUGAGAAGAAUGGACCAGCCGGCUUAUAUUAAUCGCUGUUAAGAUCAGUCUCUGCUUUGAUCAACUUGAACUACAGAGCAAAGGAUUCUGAUUCUGUCUGUUUUGGAAUCCCUUCCAAAAAAAAAUCAUCCACUACAGAGAUCAUGCAGAGGAAUAAGCUUGAUUAUGUAUUUUACUAAAAUAUUAUUGCAGGUGCUGGCUUUUCUUACCAGUCUUGCAAGAAAGGCCCAGUUCCAAGAAGUUGAGCUGGAAAAACAGCCAAGCAGCUCAAAGAGGCGUUUACAAUCUCUAGCGAACAAACGACAAGAUGUGCGGCAACAAAAAAAAAGGGUUAUCAUAUCUCUUACCGCAUAAGUGAAAGACAUGGCUGAAAUAUUACCCGUUCGAUCAGCUCGAACUGUGAAGUCUCCUCGGUCCCUUGAUUCAUUUGGUUCCAGUCCAGGCCGCGUUGACCCUUAUAAUAUCUUAAACCAACCAAAUGGGAACGCGAGCAAAAUGGUGUAAAUACCACAAUGUUUUCUAAUUGGAACGUUACACCUGUAUUUGGAAAUGGAGAAGCAUCGACUGAAGCACAUAACGAGAAUGAAUGGGUUGAGAAAGAUGCGCCUGGCGUCUACAUCAUUCUUACAGCCUUAGCCAGUGGUGUUAGGGACCUCAAACGUGUCUGUUUCAGCCGAAAAGUGAGAAUCAAACGUAAUAGUGGUCGCCAGAUAACAGAGGAAGAGUAUACAAACAAUACAAUAUACGAAUGGUCGAUAAAACCAGUACGGAAAUGCCUCACUGAGACUCUUUUACCCCAACCACUUCUCUUAUUUUCCCAAGCCUGAGGCAUCUGAGUACAAAUAUUGGGAUAUAACAUAUCUUCUAUAUAAAGAUAGAAAAUUUAAAGUUUUGAAAGUGUUUUACAUCUUCUUUCAUUGUAGUUUGGGGGCUGUGUGGUGUUUAUUGUGAGAAGGCAGUAAAUUCUACAUGUAAAAAAUCUGUCCUCACGUCCUCACAGUGGGUUUCAAUCAGAUUUGUAGAUUCAUUGCAACAUUUAGGAAGUAAAGAACUACUACAGAUUAUUACAACCAUUUCUUUCACGGUACUCAUGAUGACUAGAGGAAAAAUGUUUCAGAAGGAGACUAGCGCUCUGCUUUUAAAUGGUCUAAGGAGUAGUGUGCAGCUUGAUCAGCCUUCUGAUUUAUAACGUGAGACCGCCAAAGAUUAUAAAAGAAAACUGUUAACUUUGAUCGAUGCGGAGAAAAGACAUUACAGUGGUAGAUCUCCGGGAUAAUUUCCCUGAGACACUCGCAAAAGCGAGAGUUUUGAGAUUAAAUUAUACGACCAGUAUGAUCUUCAGAACAUGAUAAAGUAUGGCAACCAGAAGUUGAAUGCUGCAUACUAUGAAGACCAAGAAAAUUCCCAAGAAUAUCAUGUGUAUCUACUGUGUUCUCGGUCAGUAUGAAGAGACUUCAUGCAAUGUUCUUAUAUAUUUGCAUCAGGUAAUUUUCUGUUGAUUAAUUUAUCUGCAGGUGAAUGCAAGGGGGCAGUUUGUUGGUCUUGCAAAGGUGAUAUAUAUGUUCGUUUGAUUUCAACAUGAGUAUUGGCAAUAAGAUAAAUAGAUUGGUUGUUACCGUGUUAAGUGGCAUAUCAUCAAAGAUGUACAUAUCAGUAUUCUUGGGCACAUACACUUGCCAAUCUUAUAACGAGAACAAACCCAUCACUAAAGCAGAGGUUCCUUAAACUUUAUGUGAUCCCAGCUUGGAUAUGGUUGAACUGAAUGCUUAAAAUAUUUUCGAUCUUUUCAAACAUUACGGACUUACGGCUUGGAGUCAUGUUUUUCUACUGUAACGGCCAUGCUUUUAUUGUAGGUCAAUCUGGAACAUGGAACCAAGGUAAUUUAGAUAUUUCAAGGAGUUUAUGAGAAAGAAUACAUGUACACUUGAUGGUCUCGCGUUAUAUGAGCCUACACAAAUGAUGAUAAGUGAUAAUAAUAUCAAGCAAAAGAAACAAGUUUUAGGUUGGAUACGAGGAUG